CUGCACUUUCUCCCAUGUGAGGCCAAGCAGAAUGAAUGUGUGUGGCUUUGUGAAUAUGUUGGUCAGCCACCUGGUGUACACUGCAUUCCCAGGGCUCUCCCGAGCUGCCCUGGGCCCUUUCCCUAGAGGUGAGCCACCUCGGACGCACUUUUGGGAGGACCUCACUCUGGAGCAGGGGUUCCAGCCCCUGGCUGAGUGGUUUCCUGCAGCGGGAUUUUUGGGGACACACUGACAUUCCCAGAGCCUUCCCUUGAAGUUAUUUGAAAAAAGGCUCUUUCCUGGUGGGGUUCUUUCUGCAUUGUGAUGCUCCUGGCAGUGCGCUGGGGACAGUCUGUUCUCAUCAGUGUCCCCGCCCUGAAGAAUAACAGGCUCCCAAAUUUCACGCAGUCUACAGAACUGAUCCCACCCUGGGAUGCACCCCAGGCCGGGACAGCUCCCAAGCCAGUUAUCCAGGGAUGAUUAUUGCUCACUUAUUUAUAAACCACAUGCCAAAUCCACACUCCAAAAAAUCCCAAAAUAUAAUAAAGUAAAAUUUACAUAGCAUAGACAAAAUUAAUCUAACGAUAUUUAAAUGUUUCUUCUGAAAGGGAAAAUUUGAGUCGCUACUUGGAAGAGGUGUCUGCUAUUUUCUGCCCACACACAUACCUCCGGCUGGUCCAGGAGUCCAUCUCUUCCUCCCCCGCCCAGCCUGGGAGAACUGAGCAGGGCUGUCCCCACCCCAGGAGGGAGGUGAACAUACCUGAGUUGCUCACCGUGCAGGGUGAGCUCAUAACCAACAGGGACCAGCGUCCUUUGCUAGGAAAUCUGGGAACUGUGCUGCUGGUGGGACAAAAGUUCAGAGAGCUUGUGAUCAUCUGUGUCCUUCCUAGAACAGCCAACCUGAGACCAAGACCAACAGAAGACCAAGGGCCCAGGACCAUCCAGAUGAUUC
rnacentral:lncRNA from 1 species